rnacentral:rRNA from 1 species
UUCCAGACUCCUACGGGAGGCAGCAGUGGGGAAUAUUGCACAAUGGGGGAAACCCUGAUGCAGCGACGCCGCGUGAGCGAUGAAGUAUUUCGGUAUGUAAAGCUCUCUCAGCAGGGAAGAAGAUGACGGUACCUGACUAAGAAGCCCCGGCUAACUACGUGCCAGCAGCCGCGGUAAUACGUAGGGGGCAAGCGUUAUCCGGAUUUACUGGGUGUAAAGGGAGCGUAGACGGCGAUGCAAGCCAGAUGUGAAAGCCCGGGGCUCAACCCCGGGACUGCAUUUGGAACUGUGUGGCUGGAGUGUCGGAGAGGCAGGCGGAAUUCCUAGUGUAGCGGUGAAAUGCGUAGAUAUUAGGAGGAACACCAGUGGCGAAGGCGGCCUGCUGGACGAUGACUGACGUUGAGGCUCGAAAGCGUGGGGAGCAAACAGGAUUAGAUACCCGAGUA